rnacentral:rRNA from 1 species
AUUGAACGCUGGCGGCAUGCCUUACACAUGCAAGUCGAACGGCAGCGCGGGGCAACCUGGCGGCGAGUGGCGAACGGGUGAGUAAUAUAUCGGAACGUGCCCUGGAGUGGGGAUAACGUAGCGAAAGUUACGCUAAUACCGCAUACGAUCCAAGGAUGAAAGCAGGGGACCUUCGGGCCUUGUGCUCCUGGAGCGGCCGAUAUCUGAUUAGCUAGUUGGUGGGGUAAAAGCCUACCAAGGCGACGAUCAGUAGCUGGUCUGAGAGGACGACCAGCCACACUGGAACUGAGACACGGUCCAGACUCCUACGGGAGGCAGCAGUGGGGAAUUUUGGACAAUGGGGGGCAACCCUGAUCCAGCCAUGCCGCGUGAGUGAUGAAGGCCUUAGGGUUGUAAAGCUCUUUUGCCGGGGGACGAUAAUGACGGUACCCGGAGAAUAAGUCCCGGCUAACUUCGUGCCAGCAGCCGCGGUAAU